rnacentral:rRNA from 1 species
UACGUAGGGGGCAAGCGUUGUCCGGAUUUAUUGGGCGUAAAGAGCGUGUAGGCGGCCAGAUAGGUCAGCUGUGAAAACUCGAGGCUCAACCUCGAGACGUCGGUUGAAACCAUCUGGCUAGAGUCCGGAAGAGGAGAGUGGAAUUCCCGGUGUAGCGGUGAAAUGCGCAGAUAUCGGGAGGAACACCAAUGGCGAAGGCAGCUCGCUGGGACGGUACUGACGCUGAGACGCGAAAGCGUGGGGAGCAAACAGG